UACGAGGGGGGCAAGUGUUGUUCGGAAUCACUGGGCGUAAAGGGAGCGUAGGCGGGCUUCUAAGUUAGGUGUUUAAUCCCGGGGCCCAACCCCGGUCGUGCACCUAAAACUGGGAGUCUUGAAUAGUGGAGAGGUCAGUGGAAUUGGGGGUGUAGCGGUGGAAUGCGUAGAGAUCCCCAAGAACACCAGUUGCGAAGGCGGCUGACUGGACACAUAUUGACGCUGAGGCUCGAAAGCAUGGGGAGCAAACAGG
rnacentral:rRNA from 1 species